GACGAACGCUGGCGGCGUGCCUAAUACAUGCAAGUUGAGCGAUGAAGAUUGGUGCUUGCACCAAUUUGGAGAGCAGCGAACGGGUGAGUAACGCGUGGGGAAUCUGCCUUUGAGCGGGGGACAACAUUUGGAAACGAAUGCUAAUACCGCAUAAUAACUUUAAACAUAAGUUUUAAGUUUGAAAGAUGCAAUUGCAUCACUCAAAGAUGAUCCCGCGUUGUAUUAGCUAGUUGGUGAGGUAAAGGCUCACCAAGGCGAUGAUACAUAGCCGACCUGAGAGGGCGAUCGGCCACAUUGGGACUGAGACACGGCCCAAACUCCUACGGGAGGCAGCAGUAGGGAAUCUUCGGCAAUGGACGAAAGUCUGACCGAGCAACGCCGCGUGAGUGAAGAAGGUUUUCGGAUCGUAAAACUCUGUUGGUAGAGAAGAACGUUGGUGAGAGUGGAAAGCUCAUCAAGUGACGGUAACUACCCAGAAAGGGACGGCUAACUACGUG
rnacentral:rRNA from 1 species